UCCGGUUUGUCACCGGCAGUCUCCGAUGAGUCCCCAACUUAAUGAUGGCAACAUCGGACAGGGGUUGUGCUCGUUGCGGGACUUAACCCAACAUCUCACGACACGAGCUGACGACAGCCAUGCAGCAUCUGUGCACGGACUCCGAAGAGCGACCCUGAUCUCUCAAGAUCAUCCCGUGCAUGUCAAGCCCAGGUAAGGUUCUUCGCGUUGCGUCGAAUUAAUCCACAUAAUCCACCGCUUGUGCGGGUCCCCGUCAAUUCCUUUGAGUUUUAACCUUGCGGCCGUACUCCCCAGGCGGUCGACUUCACGCGUUAGCUUCGUUACUGAGAGUGUCAAACCCCCAACAACCAGUCGACAUCGUUUAGGGCGUGGACUAC
rnacentral:misc_RNA from 1 species